UACUGAGUUACCGCUCUAUAACCCUUUGUGAACAUACCUACAACUGUUGCUUCGGCGGGUAGGCCGUCCCGUGAAAAGGACGCCUCCCGGCCCGGCCCGGACCCCCCGCGGGAACGGACCCGGCGCCCGCCGGAGGAUAACCAAACUCUGUUUUAACGACGUUUCUUCUGAGUGGCAUAAGCAAAAUAAUCAAAACUUUUAACAACGGAUCUCUUGGUUCUGGCAUCGAUGAAGAACGCAGCGAAAUGCGAUACGUAAUGUGAAUUGCAGAAUUCAGUGAAUCAUCGAAUCUUUGAACGCACAUUGCGCCCGCCAGCAUUCUGGCGGGCAUGCCUGUUCGAGCGUCAUUUCAACCCUCAAGCUCUGCUUGGUGUUGGGGCUCUACGGUUGACGUAGGCCCCCAAAGGUAGUGGCGGACCCUCCCGGAGCCUCCUUUGCGUAGUAACAUUUCGUCUCGCACUGGGAUCCGGAGGGACUCUUGCCGUAAAACCCCCCAAUUUUUCAAGGUUGACCUCGGAUCAGGUAGGAAUACCCGCUGAACUUAAGCAUAUCAAUAAGCGGAGGAAAAGAAACCAACAGGGAUUGCCCCAGUAACGGCGAGUGAAGCGGCAACAGCUCAAAUUUGAAAUCUGGCCCCAGGCCCGAGUUGUAAUUUGCAGAGGAUGCUUUUGGCGAGGUGCCUUCCGAGUUCCCUGGAACGGGACGCCAUAGAGGGUGAGAGCCCCGUACGGUUGGACACCGAGUCUUUGUAAAGCUCCUUCGACGAGUCGAGUAGUUUGGGAAUGCUGCUCAAAAUGGGAGGUAUAUUUCUUCUAAAGCUAAAUAUUGGCCAGAGACCGAUAGCGCACAAGUAGAGUGAUCGAAAGAUGAAAAGCACUUUGAAAAGAGGGUUAAACAGCACGUGAAAUUGUUAAAAGGGAAGCGCUUAUGACCAGACUUGCGCCCGGUGAAUCACCCAGCUCUCGCGGCUGGGGCACUUUGCCGGCUCAGGCCAGCAUCAGCUCGCUGUCGGGGACAAAAGCUUCGGGAACGUAGCUCUCUUCGGGGAGUGUUAUAGCCCGUUGCAUAAUACCCUUCGGCGGGCUGAGGUACGC
rnacentral:rRNA from 1 species